rnacentral:rRNA from 1 species
CCCUAAAAAGUCCUCUACACACAAAAGUUUAGUCCUGACUUUAUAGCCAAUUACCCCCCAACUUACACAUGCAAGUCUCCUCACCCCUGUGAGUAUGCCCUUUCCUUCCCUCUCGGAGUAAGGAGCCGGUAUCAGGCACCCCCCUGCCCAAGACACCUAGCAAAUAGCCACACCCACAAGGGCCACAGCAGUGAUUAACAUUAGACAUGAGCGCCAGCUCGACCUAGUUAGGGCGCCGUUAGGGCCGGCAAAACUGGUGCCAGCCGCCGCGGUUACACCACGAGGCCCAAAUUGACUUUAUUCGGCGUAAAGAGUGGUUAAAGACAAAAACAAGUAAAGCUAAACCCAAGUUAGGUGGUAAUAUGCCUACUCGGGGGAAACCCAAAACGAAAGUUACUUUACUCAUACUUGAACCCACGACAGCUGGGGCACAAACUGGGAUUAGAUACCCCACUAUGCCCGGCCAUAAACUCUUACUUACCUCCACAUGGAACUACGAGCAAUGCUUAAAACCUAAAGGACUUGACGGUACCCCACAUCCCCCUAGAGGAGCCUGUCCUAUAAUUGAUGACCCCCACUUAAC